rnacentral:lncRNA from 1 species
GCCGGCCGGAGCGAUUCCAGGAGGACUGCGGUCUGCAUCUGUACUGUCAGGUAGGUGGAUGUGAGACGCUGGAUCCUGUCGGUUCUCUGAAAGCCAUACGUCGUCCUCGGCACCAUGCUGUCCCCUCAGCGGGCUUUACUCUGCAACCUCAAUCACAUCCAUCUCCAGCACGUCUCCCUAGGCCUGCACUUGUCCCGCCGUCCUGAACUACGAGAGGGGCCUCUGAGCACACCCCCGCCCCCAGGGGACACAGGGGGCAAGGAAAGCAGGGGGCCUUGCAGCGGGACCCUUGUGGACGCCAACUCCAACAGUCCAGCUGUGCCCUGCAGAUGCUGCCAGGAGCAUGGGCCCAGCAUAGAAAACCAGCAGGACCCCUCCCAGGAGGAAGAGGCUGCCUCGCCUUCAGAUCCGGGAUGCUCUUCCUCUCUCAGCUCCUGCUCAGAUCUUAGCCCUGAUGAGUCUCCAGUGUCAGUCUACUCUCGAGACCUGCCGGGUAAUGAGGAUGCCAACCCUCAGGCCAGCAUCUUCCCCUUGGAGCUGGGCUCUCCUCUGGCUCCCGCGGGUCCUA